UAGUCAUAUGCUUGUCUCAAAGAUUAAGCCAUGCAUGUCUAAGUAUAAACAACUUUGUACUGUGAAACUGCGAAUGGCUCAUUAAAUCAGUUAUAGUUUAUUUGAUGGAUUCUGCUACAUGGAUAACUGUGGUAAUUCUAGAGCUAAUACAUGCACACAAGCCCCGACUUCUGGAAGGGGUGUAUUUAUUAGAUAAAAACCAACCCUCUCUGAGGCCUUGGUGAAUCAUAAUAACUUCUCGGAUCGCAUGGCCUUGCGCCGGCGAUGCUUCAUUCAAAUAUCUGCCCUAUCAACUGUCGAUGGUAGGAUAGAGGCCUACCAUGGUUGCAACGGGUAACGGGGAAUUAGGGUUCGAUUCCGGAGAGGGAGCCUGAGAAACGGCUACCACAUCCAAGGAAGGCAGCAGGCGCGCAAAUUACCCAAUCCCAACACGGGGAGGUAGUGACAAUAUGUAACAAUAUACGGCCUUACAAGUCGUAUAAUUGGAAUGAGUACAAUUUAAAUCCCUUAACGAGGAACAAUU
rnacentral:rRNA from 1 species